AUCUAGUUCCAUGCUAGAUCCUCUGUUUUCUUUUUUUUAAAUCUAUGUUUAAAUAUUAUAGUAUGUUAGACUGCUUCUUCUUCUUCUUCUUGUGUAAAUAUUUGUUUUGUGGAAGUUGAUGGAGAGGAAAGAGGAUGAUAUGGGGCUUUGUUUUAUGUGCAUUUACCCAUAAUUUCUCAAUUUUUGUGAUGAAUUCAUACAGUCUGGUUUUUUUUUUAUGAGAAAUAAAAU
rnacentral:misc_RNA from 1 species